rnacentral:misc_RNA from 1 species
GAUGAAGAACGUAGCGAAAUGCGAUACGUAAUGUGAAUUGCAGAAUUCAGUGAAUCAUCGAAUCUUUGAACGCACAUUGCGCCCGCUAGUAUUCUGGCGGGCAUGCCUGUCCGAGCGUCAUUUCAACCCAUCAAGCUUAGCGCUUGUGUUGGAGCCCUGCGGCCGCCGCAGCCUCCUAAAAUCAGUGGCGGGCUCGCUAUCACGCUGAGUGCAUUAGUAUUCUUCUCACUCCUGUGGUGUAGCGGGUAACCAGCCGUAAACCCCCCCAUCUAUAAAGGUUGACCUCGGAUCAGGUAGGAAUACCCGCUGAACUUAAGCAUAUCAAUAAGCGGAGGA